rnacentral:rRNA from 1 species
GACGAACGCUGGCGGCGUGCCUAAUACAUGCAAGUAGAACGCACAGUUUAUACCGUAGCUUGCUACACCAUAGACUGUGAGUUGCGAACGGGUGAGUAACGCAUAGGUAACCUGCCUGGUAGCGGGGGAUAACUAUUGGAAACGAUAGCUAAUACCGCAUAAUAUUAAUUAUUGCAUGAUAAUUAAUUGAAAGGUGCAAUUGCACCACUACCAGAUGGACCUGCGUUGUAUUAGCUAGUAGGUGAGGUAACGGCUCACCUAGGCGACGAUACAUAGCCGACCUGAGAGGGUGAUCGGCCACACUGGGACUGAGACACGGCCCAGACUCCUACGGGAGGCAGCAGUAGGGAAUCUUCGGCAAUGGACGAAAGUCUGACCGAGCAACGCCGCGUGAGUGAAGAAGGUUUUCGGAUCGUAAAGCUCUGUUGUAAGAGAAGAACGGGUGUGAGAGGGAAAGUUCAC